rnacentral:misc_RNA from 1 species
GAUGAAGAACGCAGCGAAAUGCGAUAAGUAAUGUGAAUUGCAGAAUUCAGUGAAUCAUCGAAUCUUUGAACGCACAUUGCGCCCGCCAGUAUUCUGGCGGGCAUGCCUGUUCGAGCGUCAUUUCAACCAUCAAGCCCCCGGCUUGUGUUGGGGACCUGCGGCUGCCGCAGGCCCUGAAAACCAGUGGCGGGCUCGCUGUCACCCCGAGCGUAGUAGUUUACACCUCGCCCAGGGCGUGCCGCGGGUUCCCGGCCGUUAAACCCCCCCAUACCACAAGGUUGACCUCGGAUCAGGUAGGAAGACCCGCUGAACUUAAGCAUAUCAAUAAGCGGAGGA